rnacentral:rRNA from 1 species
GCUUGUCUCAAAGAUUAAGCCAUGCAUGUCUCAGUAUAAGUUCCUGUACGGCGAAACUGCGAAUGGCUCAUUAAAACAGUUACAGUUUAUUUGAUGGUCGUUCCUUACAUGGAUAACUGUGGUAAUUCUAGAGCUAAUACAUGCACAAAGUCCCGACUUCUGGAAGGGAUGUAUUUAUUAGAUACAACCAACCCCUCUGGGUUUUUGGUGAAUCAUAAUAACUGAGCGAACCGCAUGCGCAAGCGGCGGUGGUUCAUUCAAGUUUCUGCCCUAUCAGCUUUCGAUGGUAGGGUAUUGGCCUACCAUGGCGUUAACGGGUAACGGAGAAUUAGGGUUCGAUUCCGGAGAGGGAGCCUGAGAGAUGGCUACCACAUCCAAGGAAGGCAGCAGG